rnacentral:rRNA from 1 species
AGAGUUUGAUUCUGGCUCAGAACGAACGCUGGUGGCGUGUUUUAUACAUGCAAGUCGAGCGAGGACGGUAGCAAUACCGAGCCGAGCGGCGAACGGGUGAGUAACGCGUAAGCAAUCUGCCCCACAAUCGGGAACAACCGUGCCAACGCGCGGCUAAUGCCGGAUAUUGUAGUCUACUGCAUAGUAGGCCAACGAAAGAUUUAUUGUUGUGGGAUGAGCUUGCGUCCGAUUAGCUAGUUGGCGGGGUAAUAGCCCACCAAGGCGACGAUCGGUAGCCGGCCUGAGAGGGUGAUCGGCCACAUUGGGACUGAGAUACGGCCCAGACUCCUACGGGAGGCAGCAGUAGGGAAUAUUGCGCAAUGGGGGGAACCCUGACGCAGCAAACCGCCACGUGUGGGAAGAAGCAUUUCGGUGUGUAAACCACUGUCGGAAAGGAAUAACGGAAGACUUCGGUCUUUAUGAAUGUACUUUUAGAGGAAGCACCGGCAAACUUCGUGCCAGCCGCCGC